CCUACGGGUGACAGCAGUGAGGAAUAUUGGUCAAUGGACGCAAGUCUGAACCAGCCAUGCCGCGUGCAGGAUGACGGCUCUAUGAUUUGUAACCUGCUUUUGUACGAGGGUAAACCCCGAUACGUGUAUCGUGUUGAAAGUAUCAUACGAAUAAGGAUCGGCUAACUCCGUGCCAGCAGCCGCGGUAAUACGGAGGAUCCGAGCGUUAUCCGGAUUUAUUGGGUUGAAGGGGUGCGUAGGCGGUUGGAUAAGUUAGAGGUGAAAUGUCGGGGCUCAACCCCGAAACUGCCUCUAAUACUGUUGGACUAGAGAAUAGUUGCGGUAGGCGGAAUGUAUGGUGUAGCGGUGAAAUGCUUAGAGAUCAUACAGAACACCGAUUGCGAAGGCAGCUUACCAAACUAUAUCUGACGUUGAGGCACGAAAGCGUGGGUAGCAAACAGGAUUAGAUACCCCAGUAGUC
rnacentral:rRNA from 1 species